GCUGCUACUAUAAAUCUACUGAGCAGAAAACUUGGAUAGACAGCAGGAGUUUCUGUCAGUUUGUAGGAUCUGAUCUGGUGGUGGUGAACAGCAAAGAGGAACAGGAUUUUCUUUCUACAUUGGAACCAACAGCAGAAUCCUGGAUCGGUCUGUUUGCUGGAUGGUCAUACCAGAAACAGAAAUAUGAAUGGAAAUGGGUGGAUGGAUCACCACUGACAGAAACGUUCUGGGAUGAGAUGUUUUCCAAAGAUCCGUACUACUACUACUAUGCAGUGUUCUUAAGUGCUGACGGGAAAUGGACAGAAAAGGACAAAACAUACACCAAAAACUGGAUCUGUGAGAAAUAAAAUUCUGAAUCUUU